CCUACGGGUGGCAGCAGUAGGGAAUCUUCCACAAUGGGCGAAAGCCUGAUGGAGCAACGCCGCGUGUGUGAUGAAGGGCUUCGGCUCGUAAACCACUUUUGUAAGAGAAGAAUGACAAUGAGAGUAACUGUUUAGUGUGUGACGGUAUCUUACCAGAAAGGAACGGCUAAAUACGUGCCAGCAGCCGCGGUAAUACGUAUGUUCCAAGCGUUAUCCGGAAUUAUUGGGCGUAAAGCGAGCGCAGACGGUUAGUUAAGGCUGAAGUGAAAGCCCGCGGCUUAACUGGGGGAGUGCAUUGGAAACUGGCUAACUAGAGUGCGGUAGAGGAGAGUGGAACUCCAGGUGUAGCGGUGAAAUGCGUAGAUAUAUGGAGGAACACCGGUGGCGAAGGCGGCUCUCUGGACUGUAACUGACGUUGAGGCUCGAAAGUGUGGGUAGCAAACAGGAUUAGAUACCCUAGUAGUC
rnacentral:rRNA from 1 species